rnacentral:lncRNA from 1 species
AUGUAUUCAAGUCAAAGUCGGUAUGUGCUGCAUUUCUUGCCAACUAUGAUACAAAAUACUCUGUGAAGGUGACCUUUGGUAAUGGACAAUAUGAAUUGCCGCCUUGGUCCGUCAGCAUUCUCCCUGAUUGCAAGACUGCGGUUUAUAACACGGCAAGGGUAAGGAAUAGUCUGCUGCUUACAACAGGAAUCUUAGUUUAUUCACCUUUUUGUGGUUCUCCAUGUCAGUUUCCCCUGAUCUCUUAGUAAAUGACAAUAAAGGUUUGACCUUAGUCGUCUUUAAGGAUCUCUCAUAGGAGUUCUGGUAGAUAAUAAACAAGCUCAGGUUUGGCCCCGCCAAAUACUGGAAAAACCUGCAACAGUGACUUUGAUGUCUGAUGGUAAUUUUUGUGCAGC